CAAUUUUAAAACAGAAAAUUAAGCUUCGAGAACCGACUGCCGUCACCUUUUGCACCAAAACAAGCUGAUUUUGUCCCAAGCACGAAGCAAACAGUUCUGCAAAGUUAAUUGCAUGUCAAAAAUCUACUGUUACAGUGGUGAUGCAGACGCAGACGCAGACGCAGACGCAGACGCAGACUAUUCACUAUCUAUCUCUCUGGGCAGUUCCAAAUAAUUCUAGAACUUUAUCCCUUUUAUUUUAUGUACGGGUUUCAAAGGACAAUGCUUGAGUUUAGUACUUAAAACAACUAAUAUUUAAUCAUAAUUAAAACAAAACGUCGUCUUA